AAAUUGAAGAGUUUGAUCAUGGCUCAGAUUGAACGCUGGCGGCAGGCCUAACACAUGCAAGUCGAACGGUAACAGGAAGCAGCUUGCUGCUUCGCUGACGAGUGGCGGACGGGUGAGUAAUGUCUGGGAAACUGCCUGAUGGAGGGGGAUAACUACUGGAAACGGUGGCUAAUACCGCAUAACGUCGCAAGACCAAAGUG
rnacentral:rRNA from 1 species